rnacentral:misc_RNA from 1 species
GUAUUUGUUUUUUAAAGGCACAAGGCCAAUGACGACAUUCAAAAUACAUUCAUGUGGGGUAUAUAGAAACAUAGACCUGAAUACAAGAAGAGCUGGCCUUUUGUUGCACAGCAAUUCUCAAACCGAGUUUCCUCGAGAGUAUCAGAUCUACGCAAGGUGCACAGGUGGUUAAAAAUGGAGUCGGUGUGCACAUGCUCCUAAGAGCCAGCAACAACCUAACCAAGUUUAUUCAAUAAUGAUCCUUCCGCAGGUUCACCUACGGAAA